GUCAUUUUUUGAUAAUAUCCACAAUUUAUUUCCUAAUUAUAUAUAAGAAACGUUAUGCCUUGUUUACAACAUUAUAAUAUUCGAAGUUGAUAGUCCCAUGCAUAACUGUUAUAAUAUAUAACGUCGAACCAGUUUUUUUCAUUAUUUCAUAGUUUUCUGACGGGAUAUAUAAAAACAUCGACUGAUCAUAAUAAGUCGUAAGUCAAUUAAAAACAGGGGUCAUUACUAUUAGUAUUAGAAUAUAAAUACAACAUCCUUUGUAUGUAUAUUAUUACAUCUAUCGGUAUAUAUGUAUAUUACUCGGGCGUCGCCGUUGAUUGGAGUUGCUUUACCUUGAUAUUAGCCUUCAAUAUUGAAUUAAGCAAACUUGAUUAUUUGAAGGUUGACAAACAUACUGCCACAAAGUACAUUAAUUGGACUAUUAAUAUAUAUA